AGUUGUUUCCAGACAAAGAGCUUCAGAGCAAUUGACUCAAACUCUGCUGGGUGGUGGACCUCAGGAAAAUGAAUGUAUCUUUCUUAAUACAACAGGCCUGCUGAUCUCAGUGGGUACGUCCAAGAAUGUUUACAGAUAACUUGACUAUGCAGCGGUAGAGGACACAUGCCUUUUAAAUGAAAAUGGCUUGUGGUAUGAAGUCCCAGGGCAGACCUGAAUAAUCAAGUAAGGAAGACAUCAUGAUAGAGGUUGAGUAAGCCUCGAAGGAGUGAUCAGAAUUCAAUAGUGAGAGAAAAGAAGCGCUGUCAUUACAAUGAGUGGACGUAUCUUCAAGUGAGAGGAAAUGGCAAACAUUGUCUAGAUCAGAGAAUUCAGACACAUUCAUCUUUGUUAAUGAGUUAACUAUUUUACAAUUUACAGUUAAACAUUGGCCUUCACUGUCAGCUACAUUUGGGAACUACAUGAAAUCAGAUAUUGAUCCAUCACAGAGAUUUUUAAGAAGCCAAUGCAAAUUGGGAAGAAUCCUAGCGAUUAUCAACUCCAACAUCUGACAUUUUCAGGCCGUGACUACUAAAAGCAAUCAGGUGGAGCCCCGAGUUACUCAGAGAGCUACUCUUAUUCCCCACACGUCUGUCAUCCACGGGGCGAGGACCGGAGGAGCUGGGACAGGGCCCAGAAUUCCAUUACCCGCUUCAGCUUGCUUAGCACUUGUUUGAUACUAAAUGCUCUGAACUCGUUCCUGAUGAACAAUGGUGCACAGUACAAACCAAACUAAUUGGCAGAGAAAGAACUACCUCCGUGACACGGAAAAGAGUGAGCAGAAGAUUCCAUCCCAGAAUCCCACUCCAUCUGCACUGGAUGGUAAAACAGCCACAGCCCAUCACCUCCACCAUCAUGGAUUUGAGGGCGUAACAGGUAGUCAUGCACCUGUCAUUUCCUGUGCAUUCACUUCUGUUGGCUUCUGUUACUAAAACACUUAACAGUCACAGAAAAUGCUACUCCCUGUUUAAAGCGGGGUGCUUUAUGGUGGAGAUUUGUAAAGCAGCCCAUGAAUGACUGUAACAGCACAGAGUUAGUUGCUGAGAGAAAAUCUGUCAAAAAGGUCCACGUGGAAAUGGAGAGGUUCUGACAGUGGCGGCAAUCACCCCAUGCUGCGCUCUGCUUUCCCCUGCCCUGCUCCCCCAGCUGAGAUCAGGCCCCAUUGCCUGAAAGUUCUUGCUUCUUCUGUUUUUUUUUUUUCUAUGAUUUGUUCCUUCAAGUAAUUUGUAUCAAGAACUAGUAUGUGCCAAGCACUAUUAGAAACAUAAUGAUAAAAUAAAUAUUUUCUUCCUUCAAGUAGCUCAUAUAGUAAAGGAAAGAGGCCAGGGAGCAAAAUAUUAAAGUUUAGUGUCAUGUGAUAAAUACUGUACACAGUGUCAUGGAAGCCGUUAGCUUAGAGGGACGGAGUAAGGAAGAAAGGAUGUGGGAAACCUUUCCAGGGGAUGCCCAUUGAUGCAGCCACUAUGGACAACAACAUGGAGUUUCCUCAAAUAAUCAAAAAUAGGACUAUCGUGUGAUCCAGCUACUCCACUCCAGGUGUAUCUCUGAAAGAAAUGAAAUUACUGCCUCGGAGAGACACCUGCACCCCAUGCUCACUGGCUGUUCACAACAGCCAAGUCACGGGAACAACCCAAGUGUCCACCUAUGGAUGGAUGGAUAACGAAAAUGCGGAUGGAUAGUUAAAGAAAUACAUCCAUGAUAAACAAAAAUGGAUAAAGUUCAGCCAUAAAAAAGGGAAAAAAAUAAAAGAAGGAAACCUUGUCCUUUGUAACAACAUGGACAAACCAUGAGGGCAUUAUGUUAAGCAAAAUAAGUCAGACAGGGAGAAAUGACAAACACUCUAUGAUCUUACUUUUAUGGGGAAUCCAUUAAAGCCAAACUCACAGAAACAGAAAGUAGAUUGGUGGUUCCCAGGGGCUGGUGGGUAAGGGAACUGGGGAGAUGUCGGUUAAAGGGUCCAAACUUCCAGUUAUAAGCUGAGUGACUUUCGGGGAGCCAGUGCACAGCCUGGUGACUGGAGUUAGCAGCACUACAUUGCAUUGCAUUGCAAGUUCCUGUGAGAGUAAAUCUUAAAAGAUCUCAUCACACACACACAAACUAAGUAUGUGAGCUGAUACAUGUGUUAACUAACCUUAUGGUGGUAAUCACCUUGCAAUAUAUGUGUGUAUCAAGUCAUCACGUUACACACCUUAAAUUGACACAGUGUUAUAUGCCAAUUAUAUUUCAAAAACAGUUGGGGGAAAAGGAAAGGAAAAACCUUUCCAAAGGAAGUCAUCCUUGAGCUAUCCUGCAAGGGAAGAAAAAAACCACUUUUAUGGGCAGAAGAAGAGAGAAAGUUCCAGAAAAUAAGAUGCAACAGAGUAUAGGCAGAACGUAGCUGGACAGAGUAUCAGCAGAAAAUGUUGUUACAUUUAAUAUUAGAUGUAGAGACAUUAUCAAAUUUUCACUUUAGAAAGAUCAUGCUUUGUCAAUUAAAAGCAAAACAAACAGGAACAAUAUUUAGUUAUCCAGUGUCAACACACUCAAAGCCUUCUGGGAAGUAGAUUCCAGUUCCAUGCACAGGUCUUCUGGGGGGAGCAUGGCGUCUCUGUGAGCAUUGGUUACAGAGGCCACGGAGGAUCUCUUCAUGGACUUGCUAUCCCAGAAAAUAUGCACGAGCCUAGAGAUGCUUAGGACUGAGAGACGUGUUAGCAAAAUCAUCCACAUUAACUUUUGAUAUUGGCCCCUGGAGUUAUUUCCUGUUUUGUUUUGUUUUGUUUUUUGUCAUCAAAACGAUGGUAAACAACGCACUCACAUUUAAGUUCUGUGCCAUGGGCACUGAUUCCUUAUUCUCUGAGUGCUUAUAGUCAAUUCAGCAGAGGUGACGCCAUCUGACGAGAACCGUUGCCAUCCUGUCACUAUGGAUCCUGACCACAGGCUUUUCCAGCAGGGACCUUCCCCUUUAAGGCACGCCCGGACGGCACUGCAGACGACUGGGGGCACAGCUCAAGGUCACCUAACAUGACGCCUAAAUAACUCAACACGAGUGAAGGGGCAGGAAAUGUGGCAGAAAUGGCUAUAUUUAAGCUGUUGUAAUCUACCCCGCCUAUUUAAUCCACUCCAAUCCUUGAUGAAUUCCACAAGCUGACAGAACAGAGCAUCAAAAGUAAGUCUGGUGAUUCUCCUGAGUGACUGACAGCUGUGGCUGCACAUGGCCCGUAUACAUGAUCUGGGCAUCUGCUUUCCUGAAGUAAUGACUAGCUCUGCGGCAUUGCCAGAAAUCUCUGCCAGCAGGUAUGCGACGUGCAAUUCUGCAUCAGCGCCUAAGACACUGCGACGAGUGUCCGCAGUCCUGGCUGGCUGAAAGGUCGCAGUGGUUUACUGAGGUCUCUAAGGCCGUGAUGGGCACAGAACCUCUGCUUUGAACACUGGUUUCAGAAUAUAUAAGUAGAAAAUUCACACACAAAGGAAUGAAAUGAUAAAUAAACACAUAAAGGUCCCUUCUCACUAGCAAUUAAAAGAAUGUAUAUUAGAACCAAGUGUAUAGCCUAACUGAGCCGGUACUAAGUAGACUGUAUUUGUCUCUCUAUAAGGCGGAUGUUUUUGUAUGCUUUUCAUUCACUGAUGUAUCCCAAACUCCUGGAAGACUGCCUGGCACAAAUUUUUGGUGAAUGACUGCAUGAAUGGCCAUACUCGUAUUUACCACCCUGUGGUAAUGCCAGAACAUUCGCACACUGCUUGAAGCAUUGUAAAUUGAAGCGAUUAUUUUAGAAAUGGAUCAGGACAAAGUAAAAUUAUCUUCAUUAUGAUCUAGCGAACUCUGUCCCCUGGAAAUCUGUUUUACAGAAGCACAAGACCUUUAUGAAGCUGUUAAUCCUAGAAGCACUCAUUAGAGCAAAAUCUUGUUAGAAAGUUACAUGUUUGACUCCAUGGGAGUGUUCGAAUAAAUUGUGGUUUAUCAAUUAAGUAAAAUAAAACGGAGAUGGAAAAAAUUAUCAUCAACACUGGAGAACAAGAAAGUAUGCACUCUUUGGUUAUGAUGUAAUAUUUAUGCAUAUGCAUAAACAAUGGAAAUGUAAAAAUGGAAAUUUUAGUGAGGGUAUUUUUGUCAAAAAAACUUUAUUUUUUAAGUAACAUUGUCUUUCACUAUUUUACAUUAUUUUUUUAAAGAGAUGAAUGGAGCAAUUGCUAUCCUUCUGAUUUCAAAGUUUAUGCGUCACAUUCAAAAUUUUUAGUUUCCUUCUAACUGGUGGGGGUAGAAGGAAGCAGGGGCUUCAUCCAGAAUAUGGCCACAAUCUUGAGUAGUAAAACAAUGAAGUCUAUUUGGUCAAGGUCAGAGAUGAGAAUUAUAGUGUUGGCAUUAUUUGGAGACCAACACAGGCAUUUUAUCACAAGCUUUGAAAUGCAAAUGUCAGACUGGGGCUGAAAGUAUAUAAGUGGCAGAUGUCAUUGAAUAUCGGAUGACUUAAUCAGUCUUGGACAUGUUGUUAAUCAAUAUUGAUACGAUGGUUGGAUAUUAUGUAUAGCCAAACACAAAAGGUAUUAAUGUCUUUGAAAAAUUAAUGCCUUCUAUUUUAGAGGCACCAAAAGUGAGGGAAAGUGUCUUCAAUAAUACAACAUGUCUUACAAAAAACCUGAACAACCUUUCAUAAAAUAGAAUGCCACUUAAUAUAAAUGAGGAAAGAAUUUCAUGUGGCAGACUUAGGAAGGAGACAUUCUGCAUAUUGGCUGCGACCUGAGGAUCAGCAUUUUGCAAUGAAGAGAAAGGCUGAACAGGCCAUGAGUGUGCACGGCUCCAACUGCCCUUUAUCAGAUGAGAGCAUUUCAGGACUCUGGGGACUAUUUCCUCUCUUGUUAAUCCACACAAACGCUGAGCUUUAAUUGGGAACUCAUUCUUAAAUCUGUUUGGACUUUUGAGCCCUCCAAUUUUGACAUUUGCCAAAUGGAAAGUUCUAGCAAUAGAAUAACUGUCAGCUAAUGAACCUUGACUCACCCAGGCGUGUAGCAUAGUUGUGUGACUACAGUCACAUGGUGGAAAUAAAAACUGGAGGCUGACUGGGUGGUAGCCACAGCCCCUGACUCAGGCUUACUCUGUUCAUUAUGAGGAAUGCCCCUGGAUUCAUUUUUGGGAGGAAUGCCCCUGGGUGCCAGGAUUCCUUUAAAUAUGAUAUGGUUACUUCAUGGGUUACUAAAAAAGGAAAAGUAGUAUUCAUUCUUACUCUUUAAUAUGUGACUGUGACAAAUUCAAAAAAUGGGAGUAAUAAAGAAGAUAUUAAUAAGCUCA